CAUUCUCAAUAANCUACUUCC
rnacentral:tRNA from 1 species